rnacentral:rRNA from 1 species
GGGUUGUGAGGUUAAGCGACUAAGCGUACACGGUGGAUGCCCUGGCAGUCAGAGGCGAUGAAGGACGUGCUAAUCUGCGAUAAGCGUCGGUAAGGUGAUAUGAACCGUUAUAACCGGCGAUUUCCGAAUGGGGAAACCCAGUGUGAUUCGUCACACUAUCAUUAACUGAAUCCAUAGGUUAAUGAGGCGAACCGGGGGAACUGAAACAUCUAAGUACCCCGAGGAAAAGAAAUCAACCGAGAUUCCCCCAGUAGCGGCGAGCGAACGGGGAGCAGCCCAGAGCCUGAAUCAGUGUGUGUGUUAGUGGAAGCGUCUGGAAAGGCGCGCGAUACAGGGUGACAGCCCCGUACACAAAAAUGCACAUGCUGUGAGCUCGAUGAGUAGGGCGGGACACGUGGUAUCCUGUCUGAAUAUGGGGGGACCAUCCUCCAAGGCUAAAUACUCCUGACUGACCGAUAGUGAACCAGUACCGUGAGGGAAAGGCGAAAAGAACCCCGGCGAGGGGAGUGAAAAAGAACCUGAAACCGUGUACGUACAAGCAGUGGGAGCACGCUUAGGCGUGUGACUGCGUACCUUUUGUAUAAUGGGUCAGCGACUUAUAUUCUGUAGCAAGGUUAACCGAAUAGGGGAGCCGAAGGGAAACCGAGUCUUAACUGGGCGUUAAGUUGCAGGGUAUAGACCCGAAACCCGGUGAUCUAGCCAUGGGCAGGUUGAAGGUUGGGUAACACUAACUGGAGGACCGAACCGACUAAUGUUGAAAAAUUAGCGGAUGACUUGUGGCUGGGGGUGAAAGGCCAAUCAAACCGGGAGAUAGCUGGUUCUCCCCGAAAGCUAUUUAGGUAGCGCCUCGUGAAUUCAUCUCCGGGGGUAGAGCACUGUUUCGGCAAGGGGGUCAUCCCGACUUACCAACCCGAUGCAAACUGCGAAUACCGGAGAAUGUUAUCACGGGAGACACACGGCGGGUGCUAACGUCCGUCGUGAAGAGGGAAACAACCCAGACCGCCAGCUAAGGUCCCAAAGUCAUGGUUAAGUGGGAAACGAUGUGGGAAGGCCCAGACAGCCAGGAUGUUGGCUUAGAAGCAGCCAUCAUUUAAAGAAAGCGUAAUAGCUCACUGGUCGAGUCGGCCUGCGCGGAAGAUGUAACGGGGCUAAACCAUGCACCGAAGCUGCGGCAGCGACACUAUGUGUUGUUGGGUAGGGGAGCGUUCUGUAAGCCUGCGAAGGUGUGCUGUGAGGCAUGCUGGAGGUAUCAGAAGUGCGAAUGCUGACAUAAGUAACGAUAAAGCGGGUGAAAAGCCCGCUCGCCGGAAGACCAAGGGUUCCUGUCCAACGUUAAUCGGGGCAGGGUGAGUCGACCCCUAAGGCGAGGCCGAAAGGCGUAGUCGAUGGGAAACAGGUUAAUAUUCCUGUACUUGGUGUUACUGCGAAGGGGGGACGGAGAAGGCUAUGUUGGCCGGGCGACGGUUGUCCCGGUUUAAGCGUGUAGGCUGGUUUUCCAGGCAAAUCCGGAAAAUCAAGGCUGAGGCGUGAUGACGAGGCACUACGGUGCUGAAGCAACAAAUGCCCUGCUUCCAGGAAAAGCCUCUAAGCAUCAGGUAACAUCAAAUCGUACCCCAAACCGACACAGGUGGUCAGGUAGAGAAUACCAAGGCGCUUGAGAGAACUCGGGUGAAGGAACUAGGCAAAAUGGUGCCGUAACUUCGGGAGAAGGCACGCUGAUAUGUAGGUGAAGUCCCUCGCGGAUGGAGCUGAAAUCAGUCGAAGAUACCAGCUGGCUGCAACUGUUUAUUAAAAACACAGCACUGUGCAAACACGAAAGUGGACGUAUACGGUGUGACGCCUGCCCGGUGCCGGAAGGUUAAUUGAUGGGGUCAGCGCAAGCGAAGCUCUUGAUCGAAGCCCCGGUAAACGGCGGCCGUAACUAUAACGGUCCUAAGGUAGCGAAAUUCCUUGUCGGGUAAGUUCCGACCUGCACGAAUGGCGUAAUGAUGGCCAGGCUGUCUCCACCCGAGACUCAGUGAAAUUGAACUCGCUGUGAAGAUGCAGUGUACCCGCGGCAAGACGGAAAGACCCCGUGAACCUUUACUAUAGCUUGACACUGAACAUUGAGCCUUGAUGUGUAGGAUAGGUGGGAGGCUUUGAAGUGUGGACGCCAGUCUGCAUGGAGCCGACCUUGAAAUACCACCCUUUAAUGUUUGAUGUUCUAACGUUGACCCGUGAUCCGGGUUGCGGACAGUGUCUGGUGGGUAGUUUGACUGGGGCGGUCUCCUCCUAAAGAGUAACGGAGGAGCACGAAGGUUGGCUAAUCCUGGUCGGACAUCAGGAGGUUAGUGCAAUGGCAUAAGCCAGCUUGACUGCGAGCGUGACGGCGCGAGCAGGUGCGAAAGCAGGUCAUAGUGAUCCGGUGGUUCUGAAUGGAAGGGCCAUCGCUCAACGGAUAAAAGGUACUCCGGGGAUAACAGGCUGAUACCGCCCAAGAGUUCAUAUCGACGGCGGUGUUUGGCACCUCGAUGUCGGCUCAUCACAUCCUGGGGCUGAAGUAGGUCCCAAGGGUAUGGCUGUUCGCCAUUUAAAGUGGUACGCGAGCUGGGUUUAGAACGUCGUGAGACAGUUCGGUCCCUAUCUGCCGUGGGCGCUGGAGAACUGAGGGGGGCUGCUCCUAGUACGAGAGGACCGGAGUGGACGCAUCACUGGUGUUCGGGUUGUCAUGCCAAUGGCACUGCCCGGUAGCUAAAUGCGGAAGAGAUAAGUGCUGAAAGCAUCUAAGCACGAAACUUGCCCCGAGAUGAGUUCUCCCUGACUCCUUGAGAGUCCUGAAGGAACGUUGAAGACGACGACGUUGAUAGGCCGGAUGUGUAAGCGCAGCGAUGCGUUGAGCUAACCGGUACUAAUGAACCGUGAGGCUUAACCUUACAACGCCGAAGGUGUUU